GAUUUAUGCUACUUUGCCAAAUCCUGAAAUGAAAGAGCUGCACUGCCACCUACUGUCAAUAUGUUGUCUUUUCCCAGCAGGAGCUGCCACUUAAAGUAAGAAAUCCUACGUGCUCUCACACAAAAUGUUGAAAGCUGUUGACCGAAACACACACGAAAGAAAACGCUCUCCACUGUCAUACCUUUGAAUCCUGGCUGAGGAAGAGCAAGACCUGGAGUCAUCUCAACUAAUGAUACUCUGUGACUGACUCAUCAAAAAGAGAUUCCAGCAGAUACUUCCUUGGCUGCUUCUCCCAUUCACCAUGAUCAAUAGUUUCUAAGAGGCUUAUGAGAUGUUGCAAGAUAUACAGGAAAUGAAGGCAAGUGUGUGUGUCACUAGCACAUAGACAAAUCAGAUAGCAAAUGAUCUGCAAUUUUUAAUUCUCCAAUAAGACAAUGCUUUUUUUUUUUUCAAAAUCUGAGCUAUUCUGCUGGUCUUCUAUCAUCCCUCUCACAAACCAGUAAACUUAAACAGUAAAAAACAAAAACAAAAUUACUAGUAAUCCCAUGAACGUAAUCGUAAAGAGCAUAUGCAGAUCAUUAGCAUUUUCUAUUCUAUGCUGCUCUUUAUUAAUGAAUGCUUGCUCAGGCCACACUACUCUUUGUUCUGUUUCAACAGGUUUGGCUGAUAUGAUGUUUUCUGACUUUGUAAAUCCAUCUAAGCAUAAAAUGUUUUUCUAAAACCCCAGUAAAUUUUGCCUUGUAGCUGUUCCACUGUUAUCUACUAAUUUAGUAAUGUUCAAACCAAACACAUUUAUCAGUUUUUGCGUCCUCUUCAUGAAUCAAUGCCAAGACACCUCUCACUAAAUGGCAUGUUUUGUGUCUGAAUAUCCUGUAAUUUUGCCAGUAUUUUCUGUAUCUUCCCAAGGUAAUUUAAUGCAUUCCUUUAGUUAUGCCUACUGUACACAAACACCUUUCUCUCUCCUCCUGCUGACUACAUCUACUAGCCUUCUUGGCAAAAGACUUUUUGUUAUCUAUUUCUACUAAUUUUUGAAUCUUGAGACAUGAUUUUUCUAAGCCUGCUUCUUUGACAGCUUUGAUUGUUCUAAUUGCCUUAUUAUCAUCUGCUCUCAUACAGUGAUAAAGUCUUUUAAUGUUUCAUGUACUAGGAAAGACAAAGGGGAAAAAACAUGAGCAAAAUCAGUCUUUGUUCCUGGAAUGUUACUACCUCUACAGUUCACAGUCAUUAGGGUGAAGAAUUCAUUUUGGCCCUCAGUUGUUUCAAAGUUUUAUCCUUCCAGUGGCCCUGCUGUCUCUUUGCUAUUCUGCUCACUUCAGCUGCAAAAUGAAUUGAUCAUUGUUGCUCCUUUUGCUACCUAUUUCAUGUAGUACUUUAACAACCCAGAAUAAUGAUUUGUACUCAGUUCUUUAAUUUUUCUAUGAACUUAUGUCACAUGCAUAUUUUUUAAUGUAGCUUGUUGUAUCUAUGUAAGGAAUUGUAUAAUAAGAAAGCCCAUCACUG